rnacentral:lncRNA from 1 species
UGUGAUAACUGCCAUGAAGAAACUUAGUUGGUUGAGCCUAAAAUAUAAGACACCUCUGACCCGUUGAAAGGCUAUUGUUUGAGCUUCAUCAAAUAAACACAUUACUACUAUUUUAGAUUGACAGAUUAUUUCUUUUCGAUUCCAACCUCUAAAAUAAGCACAUAAAAGGUACAUAAUUUGCGAAACUUACUUGCAUAUUCAGUGAAUUGCAUCCACCAAGACGUCCAACAAUGUGCCAAGAACGAA